rnacentral:rRNA from 1 species
GAUGAACGCUGGCGGCGUGCUUAACACAUGCAAGUCGAACGGAAAGGCUCCUGCUUGCAGGGGUACUCGAGUGGCGAACGGGUGAGUAACACGUGGGUGAUCUGCCCUGCACUUCGGGAUAAGCCUGGGAAACUGGGUCUAAUACCGGAUAGGACGAUGGUUUGGAUGCCAUUGUGGAAAGUUUUUUCGGUGUGGGAUGAGCUCGCGGCCUAUCAGCUUGUUGGUGGGGUAAUGGCCUACCAAGGCGUCGACGGGUAGCCGGCCUGAGAGGGUGUACGGCCACAUUGGGACUGAGAUACGGCCCAGACGGCUACGGGAGGCAGCAGUGGGGAAUAUUGCACAAUGGGCGCAAGCCUGAUGCAGCGACGCCGCGUGGGGGAUGACGGCCUUCGGGUUGUAAACUCCUUUCGCUAGGGACGAAGCGCAAGUGACGGUACCUGGAGAAGAAGCACCGGCUAACUACGUG